GGGUUCGUAGCUCAGUUGGUAGAGCAGCGGCCUUUUAAGCCGUUUGUCGUGGGUUCGAUCCCCACCGAACCCACCA
rnacentral:tRNA from 1 species